rnacentral:siRNA from 1 species
AUUGGAGUGGCAAUUUAUCUCGGA